GGGUAGAAUAUGAUGCUUUCUCUUUGAAAAUAGGACACAGUGAAACAUAGGGUAGAAUAUGAUCCUUUCUUUUUGAAAAUAGGACACAGUGAAACAUAAGGUAAAAUAUGAUGCUUUUUGAAAAUAGGACACAGUGAAACAUGGGGUACAAUAUGACCACAAAGCUUCCAUUUUGAAAAUAGGACACAGUGAAACAUGGGGUAAAAUGUGACGACAGAGCUUUCUUUUUGAAAAUAGGACAUUGUGAAA